AGCUCACUAUUUUACACACAGCUAGUUAGCUAAUAAUACAAGUCAUUUCAAAAUGUAUUUACUAACUUGAAUAGGUUCAUGUGUAUGCCCACUAAGCUGCCAAUCGUUUGUAGCGAAGAGUUGUCAAGCCGGGCUGCCGGUUCUGUUGAAAACCAUCUGAAUUGUUGUGCAUUGACUGCUUGUCAGAAUGUAUGUUUUCCUCCCUAUGGCUCUCGUCAUUUAAUGCACCUUGAGAGUACCUGGUUUACUGGGAGGGGUACGGUCCAGAGGAGUGGUGUUGGGUUCCGGUGGAUGAUAUUCUAGAUCCCAACAUAAUCUGAGAAUUCCACCUUCGCCGUCCAGACCGGCCCGAUCCUCGCCCUCAGGGCCGUCCUCCUGACCAGAGUCGUCCUACUGCUGGAGCUGCGCAUCGGGGGGUGGGAGGGUUUACCGUCAAGUCUACUCCCGAUCCCCCCCUCCGGGGCUCGACGUCGUCGGUCUACUAACCACAGGUCCUGGUGUAACAGUUGUUAAAGUACUAUGUGAAUUUCACCAGGUUCACAUAUUAAUAUGUCAUGUUGAUUUGUUAUUAUGCAUGCCUGCAUCCUGGGAGAAGGGGAGUGUGUACUUACGUUUUGCCCUGCGUGCUCAAAUCAUUUUGAUGUACUGAGAGAGAUGCAGGAUGCAGAGAGUGAGUUCUGCUUGAUUAAAACUACCUGAUCUCCAAAGUCCACGUCUAUAGUCUCCAUCAACCACACACAACGCAGUUACAGCGGUGCAGUAUAGCACCGGUUACACUGACAACCCAUCAUUAUGCACACCUGGACUUCAUCAAUUCCCUGAUUACUCCCCCUUUAUCUAGCACUCCGUUUUAAUCACCCAUCAGGCAGUAUUGUUUCUGUGUUCAUGUUCAGACGAUACGCUUGUGUGUUCACGCGGUUUGUUCUUAUUAAACUCACUGACUGCACUUGCUUCCUGACUGCCUGCAUCUUCGUUACAAUAACAGGAUGAUGGCUUCAAAUUAAUUAUUUAAAUUUUUGUACACAUUUUUGCGUAAAGUCAACGAGUCAAAUAACCUUUUCACCCCAAGUUCUUAUCUUUACUUUUUCCUACCUAGUGUGUCAGUAAUUCUCUGUUUGAUGUGUAGAUUAACCUCGUUUGAAAACCAUGUUGUGGGCUUCAGUAUUGUCUGUACACGGCUCAUCACGGGGAAAGCCAAGUGUUGUGCAUGAUGUGGUUACGAUGUUUCGAUUGAUAACUAUUUGACCUUCUAUCAGCAUGCAUUGUAAAAUAUAAAAAUAUUUUUUUUAUAGCCAACGGUAAGGGCAUGUUAUGUUAAAUGGGCAAUCUGCUAUUGCUACAUCCAUUUUUGUAUUAAUGAUAUUCAGCCAUUGAUUUAAGAAUAUAACUUAUAAAUGCCUUAGGAGUUUAGUUUAACUGUAUAGUCCCAUCAGAACCCAAAAUAUGAGUUUGCUUUUACUAAUCCAUCCAAUAGGUCAGUUCUUGCAUCCAUCGAUGGAUUUGAGAGUGGUUCCAUUUUUCCAGCCCCAUUCCUCAACAAUUUACCCAAAAAGGUGGUGGGGUGACCGCUUUUCUGUUUGAACUGCAGAUUGCCCCUGACAUUUAAUUGUGUUAGCCAAUGAAGCGGAACUUGGUGGUGAGAGAGGCUACUGCCAAUAACAGGAACAAGACCAACAGGUUAAUCCUAUGAUUAACCUCUACCUUCUGCAUUUUGUCAAUAUAUUCCAUUUGUUAUGCGAAGUAUGUUUUGAAAUGAUAUUGAGAGCAUGCUGUCCUUAAAAUUAUAUGGGAAAAUGUAUGGGGCACUGAUUUUAUUAGUCUGUAAGAUUGUCAAAGGCUCUUUAUUGCAAAUUAAUUGAUAGUUGAGAUGAUAAAAGCACAACAUAAUUACUGUUUCUAUAUUCCUAGCAGAAUGGAAGAUCACUCUAGGAAAUACCACACAAACAAUGAGAUUUCAGUGAUAUGUGGUUGACAGUAGCACACAUCGCACUCACGCCUUGGCAUCUGACUAAAGUGGCCUGAGUGGGAAAAUAGUCUGACAAAUAAUUAUAGUGAGACAACUGGCAUCAGGGAUUCCCCAGUUGUUUGGAAAUGUCAAUAAUGGUCCUUAAAAGCUGCCACACAGGUCCAGAAUCAAAUCAUUGGGAACCAGUUGUUUAUUCGGGUUUAUCAAUAGAGAAAUGGCAAUGCACAAACGCAAAAUGCUUCUUCUGCUGCUCUCAAUGAUGAUUAGUUUGGCCACCUCAUCUCCAGCACCACUUCAAGGAAGAACUGAAUAUGAUAAUGAUAUCAAUACAAUUAAAAAUGUACUUAAGGUAAGGUAGUUAUUAUUACACUAAAACCUUUUUAACAAAUGUUCAAGUCCAGACUUGUUGUAGCGAUUAAAGUAAUGUAACUAAUGUCACCUCUGUUUCCUGAACAACAGAACUGUCAUGAAGGCUGCAGCACAUCUGGAAUGGAUCUAAAAUGCCAGUGUCUCCGAAUCCCCAUCACAUUAGUGGAAACGUGCACACCAGACUACUUCAAACAGGGACUUGCUUCACUGAGUAGUGUGCAUCCUGUUGCACGCUUACUGAUUAGAAGAUUACAUUUUUGGUCCAAGCCGGGCUUUCAGCAGCUGGCCCCUCACUGUGAACCAGUGGUGUCUCCACGGGUGUUUCUGGAGCAGCUGAGACAAGUGUUCCAAGGACUGAACAGCUUCAAACCAUAACAAAAUGAUUGAAAUAUUCUAUAUGUAUAAUGUAUUUAUUUACUAUUUAUCUAUUUGAAAUUGUACGGCUAAAUGGUUGAUUAAACACCUGAAACAGA